rnacentral:rRNA from 1 species
UACGUAGGGGGCAAGCGUUAUCCGGAAUUAUUGGGCGUAAAGAGUGCGUAGGUGGUUACCUAAGCAGGGGGUGAAAGGCACUGGCUUAACCAAUGUCAGCCCCCUGAACUGGGUACCUUGAGUGCAGGAGAGGAAAGCGGAAUUCCUAGUGUAGCGGUGAAAUGCGUAGAUAUUAGGAGGAACACCAGUGGCGAAGGCGGCUUUCUGGACUGUAACUGACACUGAGGCACGAAAGUGUGGGGAGCAAACAGG